GAUGAACGCUGGCGGCGUGCCUAAUACAUGCAAGUCGAGCGAACAGAUGAGGAGCUUGCUCCUCUGACGUUAGCGGCGGACGGGUGAGUAACACGUGGAUAACCUACCUAUAAGACUGGGAUAACUUCGGGAAACCGGAGCUAAUACCGGAUAAUAUAUUGAACCGCAUGGUUCAAUAGUGAAAGACGGUUUUGCUGUCACUUAUAGAUGGAUCCGCGCCGCAUUAGCUAGUUGGUAAGGUAACGGCUUACCAAGGCAACGAUGCGUAGCCGACCUGAGAGGGUGAUCGGCCACACUGGAACUGAGACACGGUCCAGACUCCUACGGGAGGCAGCAGUAGGGAAUCUUCCGCAAUGGGCGAAAGCUUGACGGAGCAACGCCGCGUGAGUGAUGAAGGUCUUCGGAUCGUAAAACUCUGUUAUUAGGGAAGAACAAAUGUGUAAGUAUCUAUGCACGUCUUGACGGUACCUAAUCAGAAAGCCACGGCUAACUACGUG
rnacentral:rRNA from 1 species